ACCAAAAUUGCUUCAAAAUACUACAAAAUUGCUUCAAAAUACUACGAAAUUGCUUCAAAAUAUUGCUAAAUUCCUUCAAAUGUCUACAUUUGCGAAGAAAUUCAACAAUCGCAACAACAUUCACAGAAAGAAACCGAAAAAUAUAUUUCGAAUUAGAGAGAUAAAGAGAAUGAUGAUUCAGAGAAGAAUCAUGUUCGUUGAACAUAACAAGGCAUAGUCUGAAGAAACGUGAACCAAAUUAGGAAGCAAGGAUGCGGAAUUGAUGCUAUUUGAAGAAAAACACUAAAUAUAGGUUAAAUCGAAGAUAAGCAAGGAAGUUUGCAAAUGAAUAGUACAUGUUAUAUGUUCAUUUAUGAAAGUGUAUAUGUUCAUUAAUGAAUGUGUAUAUGAUCAUAUCUUAAACUUCCUCCAUUUCUUUUUACUUGCAACACAGCCUUGUGGCACGUGUUUUGAGGUCGGGUUUAUAUAAUGUAAACGGAUAAAUUAUUCAUUAUAAUUUUUACAAAUGAUACUUAACCCUAUUCUAA